rnacentral:rRNA from 1 species
AAACAACGCGUGGCGGCGUAGCCUAACACAUGCAAGUCGUACGAGAAAGUCGGCUUCGGCCGAUGAGUACAGUGGCGCACGGGUGAGUAGCGCGUGGGUAAUCUGCCCCCGGUCAGGAAUAACCCGCCGAAAGGCGGGCUAAUACCCGAUAACACUGAACGCUCCGCGGAGCGUCUUUCAAAGGAGGCCUCUGUUUACAAGCUUUCGCCGGAGGAUGAGCCCGCGUACCAUUAGCUAGUUGGCAGGGUAAUGGCCUACCAAGGCUGCGAUGGUUAGCUGGUCUGAGAGGAUGGCCAGCCACACUGGAACUGAGACACGGUCCAGACUCCUACGGGAGGCAGCAGUGAGGAAUCUUGCGCAAUGGGGGAAACCCUGACGCAGCAACGCCGCGUGAGUGAGGAAGGCCUUCGGGUCGUAAAGCUCUGUCAGAUGGGAAGAAAUGGGUGGGGGCUAAUAUCGCCCAUCCUUGACGGUACCAUCAGAGGAAGCACCGGCUAACUCCGUG